CCUACGGGUGGCUGCAGUGGGGAAUAUUGCACAAUGGGCGCAAGCCUGAUGCAGCCAUGCCGCGUGUGUGAAGAAGGCCUUCGGGUUGUAAAGCACUUUCAGCGGGGAGGAAGGCGGUGAGGUUAAUAACCUCAUCGAUUGACGUUACCCGCAGAAGAAGCACCGGCUAACUCCGUGCCAGCAGCCGCGGUAAUACGGAGGGCGCAAGCGUUAAUCGGAAUUACUGGGCGUAAAGCGCACGCAGGCGGUCUGUCAAGUCGGAUGUGAAAUCCCCGGGCUCAACCUGGGAACUGCAUUCGAAACUGGCAGGCUAGAGUCUUGUAGAGGGGGGUAGAAUUCCAGGUGUAGCGGUGAAAUGCGUAGAGAUCUGGAGGAAUACCGGUGGCGAAGGCGGCCCCCUGGACAAAGACUGGCGCUCAGGUGCGAAAGCGUGGGGAGCAAACAGGAUUAGAUACCCGGGUAGUC
rnacentral:rRNA from 1 species